rnacentral:rRNA from 1 species
AUUGAACGCUGGCGGCAGGCUUAACACAUGCAAGUCGAGCGGGGGAAGGUAGCUUGCUACCGGACCUAGCGGCGGACGGGUGCGUAAUGCUUAGGAAUCUGCCUAUUAGUGGGGGACAACAUCUCGAAAGGGAUGCUAAUACCGCAUACGUCCUAUGGGAGAAAGCAGGGGAUCUUCGGACCUUGCGCUAAUAGAUGAGCCUAAGUCGGAUUAGCUAGUUGGUGGGGUAAAGGCCUACCAAGGCGACGAUCUGUAGCGGGUCUGAGAGGAUGAUCCGCCACACUGGGACUGAGACACGGCCCAGACUCCUACGGGAGGCAGCAGUGGGGAAUAUUGGACAAUGGGGGGAACCCUGAUCCAGCCAUGCCGCGUGUGUGAAGAAGGCCUUAUGGUUGUAAAGCACUUUAAGCGAGGAGGAGGCUACUUUAGUUAAUACCUAGAGAUAGUGGACGUUACUCGCAGAAUAAGCACCGGCUAAUUCUGUGCCAGCCGCCGCCGUAA